GCGGGCGCCGGUUCGGCUUCGGGCGCCCGGCGUACCGGCAGGCGCGCCUCGCGCACCUGGCGCGCGGCGGCGCGCAGCUCGCCGCGCCCGCCC
rnacentral:tRNA from 3 species